rnacentral:rRNA from 1 species
AAUUUUGGAUAAUGGGGGAAACCCUGAUCCAGCCAUCCCGCGUGUAUGAUGAAGGCCCUCGGGUGGUAAAGUACUUUUGGCAGAGAAGAAAAGGUAUCCCCUAAUCCGGGAUACUGAUGACGCUACCUGCAGAAUAAGCACCUGCUAACUACGUGCCAGCAGCCGCGGUAAUACGUAGGGUGCAAGCGUUACUCGGAAUUACUGGGCGUAAAGCGUGUGUAGGCGGUUCGGAAAAAAAGAUGUGAAAUACCAGGGCUCAACCUUGGAACUGCAUUUUUAACUGCCGAGCUAGAGUAUGUCAGAGGGGGGCAGAAUUCCACGUGUAGCAGUGAAAUGCGUAGAUAUGUGGAGGAAUACCGAUGGCGAAGGCAGCCCCCUGGGAUAAUACUGACGCUCAGACACGAAAGCGUGGGGAGCAAACAGG